UACGUAGGGGGCAAGCGUUGUCCGGAUUUAUUGGGCGUAAAGAGCGUGUAGGCGGUUCGGUAGGUCCGUUGUGAAAACUCGAGCUCAACCUCGAGACGCCGAUGGAAACCCCCGAACUAGAGUCCGGAAGAGGAGAGUGGAAUUCCUGGUGUAGCGGUGAAAUGCGCAGAUAUCAGGAAGAACACCCGUGGCUAAGGCGGCUCUCUAGUACGGUACUGACGCUGAGACGCGAAAGCGUGGGGAGCGAACAGG
rnacentral:rRNA from 1 species